UCCUGAGGGCUGUCAGCACUGGAGGGGUAGCUGGCAGGUUCUUCUGUGAUGUCAUCAGCAUGUAGGAGGGUGUGCUCCAAAGUCUGCCAGCUUCCUGGGCUGGCAGUGGUCCUCCAGCCAGCCCGAGCCUGUCUCUGGGAUGGUCUCUGUCUCUCCUCCUCCACCUGGUCUGUCACCAAGUGGUUGGGGACACAUUAGUGGCUUAUCCAACUAACAUUACUACUGCAGUGACAGCUACUAUUUAUUAAGUGCCUGUGUGUGUCAAGCACUUUGCUUACAUUAUCUUAAUCUCCCCAUAACCCUCUGGAGUUGCCUGCCAGCUGGUGUGGACUGAGUUUCUCUCCCUUCCUGAAGCACUUUCUAGGAGAGGAAGUCGUGUGUGCCUCUGCCAUUCUAUCUGAGGGAGAACUGAGGCAGGACCCCAGAAUAUCCUGGAAGAAAUGCCAGAGAGAGCUGAAGGCCUCAGUUGUUGAAUCUCGAAGGAGGGCUUUGAUGUCACCCCACUCCGUUUAUUCUGGGACGUUGCCUGCUUCUUCAUGGCUUCAGACUCUCCGCAUGAAGAAUGGCCGGCUUCCUUCAGGGGCUGGCCCAAAGGCGGGUGCACUCCCAGAAGGCCAGCCUGGGGAUGUCGCCACCCCUGCCAAGCCCAGGUAGGGUGGGGGCUUUUCUAAACACAUACU
rnacentral:lncRNA from 1 species